GAUGAACGCUGACAGAAUGCUUAACACAUGCAAGUCUUUGGCGAAGCUGUGCUUGCACAGCCUAGCCAAGGCGGACGGGUGAGUAACGCGUAAGGAACUUGCCCUGCAGUCAGGGAUAACAGACGGAAACGACUGAUAAGACCUGGUAAAGUCAGGCGGACUCAUGUCCAGCCUGAUGAAAAGAGAUGCUGCAGGAGAGCCUUGCGUCCUAUUAGCUUGUUGGUGGGGUAACGGCCCACCAAGGCGAUGAUAGGUAGCCGGCCUGAGAGGGUGGACGGCCACAAGGGGACUGAGAUGCGGCCCUUACUCCUACGGGAGGCAGCAGUGGGGAAUAUUGGACAAUGGGGGCAACCCUGAUCCAGCAAUUCUGUGUGCACGAUGAAGGUUUUCGGAUUGUAAAGUGCUUUCAGCAGGGAAGAAAAAAAUGACGGUACCUGCAGAAGAAGCGACGGCUAAAUACGUG
rnacentral:rRNA from 1 species